rnacentral:rRNA from 1 species
AUUGAACGCUGGCGGCAUGCUUUACACAUGCAAGUCGAACGGUAACAGGGAGCUUGCUCCGCUGACGAGUGGCGAACGGGUGAGUAAUGCGUCGGAACGUGCCGAGUAGUGGGGGAUAACGCAGCGAAAGUUGUGCUAAUACCGCAUACGUACUGAGGUAGAAAGUGGGGGACCUUCGGGCCUCACGCUAUUCGAGCGGCCGACGUCUGAUUAGCUAGUAGGUGAGGUAAAGGCUCACCUAGGCGACGAUCAGUAGCGGGUCUGAGAGGAUGCUCCGCCACACUGGGACUGAGACACGGCCCAGACUCCGACGGGAGGCAGCAGUGGGGAAUUUUGGACAAUGGGCGAAAGCCUGAUCCAGCCAUGCCGCGUGUCUGAAGAAGGCCUUCGGGUUGUAAAGGACUUUUGUCGGGGAGGAAAUCCCCAGCGUUAAUACGCUGGGGGAUGACAGUACCUGAAGAAUAAGCACCGGCUAACUACGUGCCAGCAGCCGCCGUAA